UGACAUCGGCCGAGUAUUAAUCACUCCACUGACGUCACUUCGCUGAAAUAUCUAGACAAGAUUAAUCGUCUGUUUUUUAACGCUCGCAGCUUUAUUUUUAUGAUUCUAUCAUCGUGUCCUAUGCGACAGACCGGCACUCGGACGAAGCCAAUGAAAAUGAAAAUCAUACCGGCACCGAGAAAAAGUUGCUAUAGAACGUGAAAGAUCCAUUCGACGAACUCAUAUACAUUCACAACGCGUCAGGGAAAACCUCGUAAAACUAUCGUCAGACCGUCGUUAUCAAUAUCUCGCCAGAUUUCGCAAACUACAUCGUCGUAAAUGGUUACAGGUAGGACGGACUUUUGUCAACGAUGGGAUUUACAGAGUAACCCGAUUACUAUUAUUAUAAGAAAUAAAUAUUCAACGUUUUGGUUCUGAUUGAAUUUCUUCAAGAGAAAAAUGAUUUCCUGGAAAGAAUUUUUAUUCUGGCAAGUGAAAUUGAUGAGAAAGUAGCGGAAAUAAUAAUGAAGACGAUAUUAUCGCAGUAUAAUAAUUCGUAAUACGUGAACAUCCUUCUAGGACAUCAUUAUCAUCCUUAUCACCAUGGGCCGUGCGGUUUCACGACGUCAGAUUUUCGGCCUCACGUGCCGUCAGUUCUAAAGAGGACACGACGCUGAUACAUACUUGUUAUUCAUUUGAUUAGUUUCAUCAACGCAAUUGUAAUUUAUGUAUGAAAUAUACAUAUAUUACAAUAUCUGCAUAUUUAUCUUCCAUGAUUUUAUAAUUAUUACUUACACGUUAACGAAUUGCUAAUAUCGUUACUUCUUGUAUCAUCAUUACCAUUAAGAAGUUGCAGGUGG